AUGAACUUGGGAAAAGAAAAAGGCUGUGCAGCUGUUCCCCAAUUCCUGUCCUCUCCAGGUGAAGCAAAAGACAGAGAUGAAAUCCAGGAUACACUAAACUCCAGUCUGUGCCAGUCUUCUGGAGAUGGCAAUCAGCUCCAGCAGGAAAGGCCGUUCUGCUCCAGCAAUAAGGCCAUUGAGGACCUGAGCCUACAGUCCAGAUCCCAGAGUCCCAUUAGCUUUGGGGAGAGCAUGCCAGACGAUGGCAGUGGGCGCCAUGGUUUCCCUGUGAAAGUGGGUGAAGGUGAAGUGGUAGAGACGCACAGCUGCCCUCAGAGUUAUGUUCCUCUCCCUACCUCUCUGGCCCAGUUCAGCCAGGUCAGUGAAGGCAUUCAGUGUGAUACGAGCCAGUGGCAGGAUGCAGAACACGAACAAUCUCCUGAGUCAUCACCAGAAAGCAGAAAGACAACAGAGGAAGGGGCAUUCAGGUGUGGGGAAUUGGAUGAGGUGGUGGUGAGGGACGGCUUCCCCAAGUAUGUUCCUAACCCCGCCUGGUUGGCCCAGAUGAACAGCAAGGGAGUAGAUGCGGGGAUUCAGUGUGAUGGCAGCUGGUGUCAGGAUGCAGAGCUGGAGAAAUCCCCUGAGCAAAUGCCUUCCAAAGAUGAGGAGUCCUCACCAGCCUGCAAAACUGAGGGCUCACAGGGAAAGACCAUCAGGACUGGGGAACUGAACACAGAUAAAGAAAUGACCAGGAAGGAUGAGACUGAGGAGGAGGAGCACGAGAACUUCAAGAAGUGUGCAGAUAUUCAAAAGUCUGUGACCAGCAUCAAGCAGACAUCCCUGAGCAACUUCUCAAGUGGGAGCACAGGCUAUUUAGUGAAGGAAAGUGCUGCCUCGAGCACUGUACUUCCCGAGGAUUCAGAAGACUGUGACUUCGAAGAGGAAGUUGAAGGUGAAAUGGAGGAGCUAGACUGCCUCUUUGAAGAUGUUAGUCCACUGGGCCCUGUGGCCUCUUCAAAAGGGCAGAUUUAUCACAAAGCUGGCAGGAUCAUCAGGAUGCCACCCGAGUGCUGUCUCCCUUCCCAACUUCUUGUGUGGCCCACCAGAAAUAAGAACAGGUUAAAGCAUGGAGAAUAUGAGAGCAUCCCUGUAGUGUGCAAAGUGACGGGACAGGAUGGCCAGUUCCGAGGGGAAUGUACCACGGCCAUGCAGAAGGGGUUGGAGUACAAGAGAGCCUCUCAUAAGUCCUGGGAACGUACAUGA
rnacentral:lncRNA from 1 species